rnacentral:rRNA from 1 species
UGUAAGCGUAUACCAAAGUUGUUGCAGUUAAAACGCUCGUAGUCGGAAUUUGGCAGUUCCGGAUGUGUGCACGUCGUGUGCGCACUUCGCGGGGAUUGCUUUUGUGGUCUUGCGUAGGAUGAGGCACUUUUAUUAGUGAACGUCCUCACGCAACCACUUUUUACUGUGAGAAAAUCAGAGUGCUCAAAGCAGGCAUUUGCCGUGAAUGUAUUAGCAUGGAAUAAUAGAAUAGGACUUGGUUCUAUUUUGUUGGUUUGUUGGGACUGAGUAAUGAUUAAGAGGGACAGUUGGGGGCAUUUGUAUUUCGGUGCUAGAGGUGAAAUUCUUAGAUUACCGAAAGACAAACUGCCGCGAAAGCGUCUGCCAAGGAUGUUUUCAUUGA